GGUCAUGUAUUUUCUGAUUUCGCCUAAAGUUGACUGGUGCUAGUCGCAUCUGGUGAGCUUUUGGCAAUAUGGCGAUUUGUUUACAUUCUUCCUUAUCACUUGCAAAGCGGAAAAUUUUCCAAUUUUUCCUUUGAAACUCUCCGAAUUUGUCAUAAAAUGACUUUUUACCAAGAAGAAUGUAAACAAGCCGCCAUAAUGCCAACAGCCGAGUAGCAUCAGUCAACUUUAGGCGAAAUCAGAAAAUACAUGACUGUUGUUCCGUUGGAUCCCCGAGAAUUAGAUGUGCCUCACUGAAAACCCAACGUGCUCGGUCUCUAUUUGUCUCUGGAAA